UACGGGGGGGGCAAGCGUUGUUCGGAAUUACUGGGCGUAAAGGGCUCGUAGGUGGCCAACUAAGUCAGACGUGAAAUCCCUCGGCUUAACCGGGGAACUGCGUCUGAUACUGGAUGGCUUGAGUUUGGGAGAGGGACGCGGAAUUCCAGGUGUAGCGGUGAAAUGCGUAGAUAUCGGGAGGAACACCAGCGGCGAAGGCGACUUUCUGGCUGCUAACUGACGCUGAGACGCGAAAGCUAGGGGAGCGAACGGG
rnacentral:rRNA from 1 species